AUACUUGCCUGGCAGGGAAGAUACCAUGAUCAGGAAGGUGGUUUUUCCAGAGUGAGGCUUAUUUAUUGCACUCUGGAUGUGCUGACCCCGUGGUUUCCUCAACGUGGGAAUUUCUACUGCAUAAUUUGUGAUAGUGGGGGACUGUGUGAUCUCCCG